rnacentral:pre_miRNA from 1 species
CCAUGGAUCUCCAGGUGGGUCCGAGAUAGAUGCACACCAACCUGGUGGACUCCAUGCUGU